GAAAGGGCAGUGUUUAAAUAUGUUAUUAUCAAAGCGUAAGCACUAGAGGGCAGCAGCCACCCAAGAGUUGCAGAUGAGGGGUGUCUGGAGGAAGCUGGAGAUCAGGUGAGUGGAAUCCGAGGGGCUGCAGGAGACCCUUACAGAAUGAUUUAAGUGAUUCUAAAUCAGACGAGGCUUUGGACAACCGCUGUGAAGUCCGUGAAAGCCGAGCAGACAGGAUGCCCCUCCUCCUGACAACGAGGCCUCCCUCGUGAGCUUGUGCCAGAGAAGAGGGAGCAUUCGCGCCAGGCCUUCACACACAGGAACACCAGCGUCACUGCCACUUACACUUCCGUCCGUGUCACCUGGAGAGGUGGUGGCGAGUCGCUCUCUGAGCACGUGGGUGUGGAGACGCCGGGGAAGCAUGGGGUGGAUCCUGGGAGCAGAAGAAUGAGAGGCAGUGUGACCCGAGGCUCAUGAGCAGACCGUGGCAGGUGUUGAAGAGAGGGGCUGAGGGACUGAAGCGGCAGAGGCACAACCCUGAAGAGCAAUUUUGGCAUGGGGACAAGCUGCUGGGAAUCGACCUCUCACAGCUCUGCUGUCCCAGGGAUUGAACUCGGGUCCUUGAGCUUGCGCAGCAGGCGGUGAAACCACUGAGCUGAAUCCCCACCCCCCUAAACUUAUAUUUAAUAUUUUUCUUUUACAAAAAUUAGAACAUGGGCCUGGGAUGUAGCUCAGUGGCACUGUGUUUGCCUCGAAAGAGCAAGGUCCUAAGCUCCUCCCCGCCAUCCCAAGCUCCUAGGGCAGAGAAGGUGAGCCACGUGGGCGCCAGAAGCACCGCCCCCCCCCCCCCGCCCCGUGGAAAUGAGAAGACACAUAAACAAGCCUCAAAAACAGACUUCUGGAUCACCUACAGCAACCCCAAAGAGAAACGAGAUGGAACAAUCUGAUACUCAACCACCUGGACUCUCUGAACUGGCAACAAAAGAGGAUCUGGGAAAAAUGAAAUCAGAAAUAAUUUCUCAGAUAACAGCAAAGAUUUUGCUCAUGGUGCAAGACAUGAAAGAGCAAGGUCCUGAGUUCAAUCCUUACCACCAUCAAAAAAAAAAAAUUAAGGCAUACUGCCAUCCCUGUAUCAACUCACUCAGUACUACAUUUUGGCAGUCUUGCUAAAUUUACUUUGUUUUCUUAAAUAACUGCCUAAUAAGCUGUUUCUGACAAUGCUACCAUCAUUUAAUUGAAUAGAUCUCCAAGUUGAAGGACCCUGGGGCUGCUUUUAAUGUUUGGUAUUUGAGUUAAAUUUUAAAUAAGAGAAGAGACACACAUUGAUGAAGGGAGGAUUCUAGGUUAUGAAAAAAAAUCUUGAUUGAUCGAUCGAUUGAUUGUAGAACUGGGGAUUGAACCCAAGGGUUUCCCCAUGUUAGGGAAGCACUCUACCACUGAGCUACCUCCCUGUCCCUUUUCUUUUUAUUUUGAGACAGAGCCUUGCUAAAUGGUCCAGGCAGGCCUUGAACAUGGAAUCCUCCUGACUCAGCCUCUGGAGUAGCUGGGAGUAUAGGUGUGGGUCACCAUGCCUGGCUUGGAAAGAUGUUUAUACAUAAACAGGGGACCCUAGCAUUUUUGUCUCAGGAGCUACUCUUGCUUGUGGAAGUGAACAUAUUAAUGAGGACGGAGGUGGGAAAGAAUGGAUGUUUGUGCAGGCCUUUGAGUCUGUGAGUUGGGCUGUGACAUGUCGCACAGGACUGGGGAGAAGCUGGCCACAGCUCCUCUAGACCAGGAGAGGAGCUGCCCCAGGAUCCCUCCGGAGACGCACGCUCUUGCUAUCCCCAGCUGUCCCCCUUAUUGUCAACCGACCAUUAGCAUGGUUUUCUGGGCCCCGUUUUCAAGCUAGAAACGUGAAGGGUUCGAAAGGACACAGGAGAGACCUAGAGCUUUUGGGGAAAUUUGUUCAGGGAGAUGAGACUCGAGAAGCGAGCCUUAUGUCUCAGGCUGCCUCCCACCAGUUCCUCCAUUCUGUCCUCUGCCUGCUGAUGUUGGAAGAAUCAGUCUGGAAGCUGCUGUUUACCAGUGGCAUAGUCUUGAGUAACAUCUCCAAGCUUCAGUUCCUCCAUCCAUAAAAUGGGCAGAAUGUUCAACUGGCAGCAGUGUGGGGAAGAUUGAAUGAGUUGAUGGAUGUGGAGGGUCUGUGUUUCAUUUUGCCUUUCUUUCCCAAGGCCUGGCCAGAGUAGAGUUUACGAGGCAGUGUGCCAUCUACCCUAAGAUGAUAGAGAAAAGCAUAUUCUACUCUUCCCUGGGCCGGCCGGCCAAUGUUGUAGCUGGCUGUUGGUCUAGUGAUGUUUUUGGGGUCUCCAGAGCAACCUGUGACCUGAAGCCAACUCUGAAAGAGGAGGAGUGGGUCAAAGACAUAGAGAUCAAAGAUUAGACAGGACAGGGUGCUUAGAGUGCUAGAUUUGGAAUUUUAAAAAAGGAAAGUGAAGAAUUAAUUUUACUCAGAGAAGUCUGGCCUGGGUCUUUAGCUGCUGGGAGAUGGUGUCUCGCCUGGGGAUGUCCUGCCUGGCGGGAAGAUCUGUUUGCCUGAGGAGCCUGGCCAGCAGGUGGCUGAGCAGUGUGAUUCAUAAUGGGGCUUUGCACCUGGCCGCAUCAGUCCCCACGGAAGGGAGACGAAAGGGCAUCCUUGGCACGGAAUCCUGGGGUGAGCAUCCUGGUAAGCAGGAUGCUUCAGCUUUGCCUCCCCAAGAGACUGGGAGGAAGAGAUGACAGGAGAAGACAGAAGCUUUGUGUUCGGGCCCUUUUCAGAGUUUGCCCUGUGUGUUCUUUUGGCAGCUUCUGAUUUGUAUCCUUUUGCUAUAAUAAAACUUUAAUUGUAAGUAUUUUGCUUUCCUGAGUUCUGUGAGUUAUUCUAGUAAAUGAUCAAACCAGAGGAGACAGCAGGCCCCCUGGACUUGUGUCUGCAGACACAGAGGGCCUGGAGGUGCCUGGCAGAUCUCCAGAACUCCUUACCUUUUCUUGCCUCACUAUGGAGUAGCUGUUCUACCCCUUCCCCGGCCUCACUAGCAGCUGCAGCUUGGCACUGGACCUGCCCGGCACACUGGCUGAAGCAGUAUUCCUAAGUGUCA
rnacentral:lncRNA from 1 species